UGACCAGACUCCUACGGGAGGCAGCAGUGGGGAAUAUUGCACAAUGGGGGGAACCCUGAUGCAGCGACGCCGCGUGGGUGAAGGAGUACUUCGGUACGUAAAGCCCUAUCAGCAGGAAAGAAAAUGACGGUACCUGACUAAGAAGCCCCGGCUAACUACGUGCCAGCAGCCGCGGUAAUACGUAGGGGGCGAGCGUUAUCCGGAUUUACUGGGUGUAAAGGGAGCGUAGACGGCAGUGCAAGUCCGGAGUGAAAGCCCGGGGCUCAACCCUGGGACUGCUCUGGAAACUGUAAAGCUGGAGUGCGGGAGGGGCAGGCGGAAUUCCUGGUGUAGCGGUGAAAUGCGUAGAUAUCUGGAGGAACAUCAGUGGCGAAGGCGACUAUCUGGCACAUAACUGACGCUGAGGAGCGAAAGCGUGGGUAGCAAACAGGAUUAGAUACCCCGGUACG
rnacentral:rRNA from 1 species